rnacentral:rRNA from 1 species
CAGAAGGGGGAAAGCCGAUUUUCCAAGUGUAGCGGUGAAAUUGCGUAGAUAUUUGGAGGAACACCAGUGGCGAAGGGCGACUUUCUGGUCUGUAAGUGACAGUGAGGCGUGAAAGCGUGGAGAGUCAAACAGGACUAGAUACCUUGGUAGUACACGCAGUAAAAUGAUGAGUGAUAAGUGUUAGAGGGUUUCCGCCCUUUAGUGCUGCAGUUCACGCAUUAAGCACUCCGCCCGGGGAGUACCGUCGCAAGAUUGAAACUCAAAGGAAUUGACGGGGGCCCGCACAAGCGGUGGAGCAUGUGGUGUAAUUGGAAGCAACGUGAAGAACCUUACCAGGUCUUGACAUCAUUUGACAACCGUAGAGAUAGGGCUUUCCCCUUAGGGGGACAGAGUGACAGGUGGUGCAUGGUUGUCGUCAGCUAGUGUCGUGAGAGGUUGGGAAAAGUCCCGCAACGAGCGCAACCGUUGAUCUUAGUUGCCAGCAUUCAGUUGGGCAUUCUAAGAUGACCGCCGGUGACAAACCGGAGGAAGGUGGGGAUGACGUCAAAUCAUCAUGCCCUUUAUGACCUGGGCUACACACGUGCUACAAUGGACGGUACAAAGGGCAGCGAGACCGCGAGGUUUAGCCAAUCCCAUAAAACCGUUCUCAGUUCCGCUUGCAGGCUGCUACUCGCGUGCAUGAAGCAGGAAUCGCUAGUAAUCGCGGAUCUGCAUGCAGUCAUUGAAUUCGUUACCCGGGCGUUGUACACACCGCACGUCACACUACGAGAGUGAUGUUACACCAGCAAGUCUGGCGAUGGUAUACCGUUGGAGCCAGCCGUCCUA